rnacentral:snRNA from 1 species
CUACUUACCGGGCAGGGGAGACACCGCUGAUCAGGACGGGGGUUUUCCCAGGCCUCGGCUCACCUGGUGCACCGCGGGCGUCCUGAUCCUCGCGAUUUUCCCCCAAAUGCGGGGAAACUCGGACUGCAUACUUUGUGGUAGUGGGGGACUGCGUUCCCGCGCGCACACG